rnacentral:tRNA from 1 species
AGUCUUUUAGUUUAUUUUUUUUUUGAAUUUUUCAUUUACGAUGAAAAGGUUUGUAGACUU